AUUGAACGCUGGCGGCAUGCCUUACAUAUGCAAGUCGAACGGCAGCACGGGUGCUUGCACCUGGUGGCGAGUGGCGAACGGGUGAGUAAUACAUCGGAACGUACCUUAUCGUGGGGGAUAACGCAGCGAAAGCUGUGCUAAUACCGCAUAUGCCCUGAGGGGGAAAGCGGGGGAUCGCAAGACCUCGCGCGAUUAGAGCGGCCGAUGCCUGAUUAGCUUGUUGGUGGGGUAAAAGCCCACCAAGGCGACGAUCAGUAGCUGGUCUGAGAGGACGAUCAGCCACACUGGGACUGAGACACGGCCCAGACUCCUACGGGAGGCAGCAGUGGGGAAUUUUGGACAAUGGGGGCAACCCUGAUCAGCAAUGCCGCGUGAGUGAAGAAGGCCUUCGGGUUGUAAAGCUCUUUUGUCAGGGAAGAAACACCGGCUCUAACACAGUCUGGGAAUGACGGUACCUGAAGAAUAAGCACCGGCUAACUACGUGCCAGCCGCCGCAGUAA
rnacentral:rRNA from 1 species